UACGGGGGGUGCAAGCGUUGUUCGGAAUUACUGGGCGUAAAGGGCUCGUAGGCGGCCUGCUAAGUCGGAUGUGAAAUCCCCAGGCUUAACCUGGGAACUGCAUCCGAUACUGGAUGGCUUGAAUUCGGGAGAGGGAUGCAGAAUUCCAGGUGUAGCGGUGAAAUGCGUAGAUAUCUGGAGGAAUACCGGUGGCGAAGGCGGCAUCCUGGACCGAGAUUGACGCUGAUGAGCGAAAGCGAGGGGAGCAAACGGG
rnacentral:rRNA from 1 species